GGGGACACACCGUACAUAUAUCAAAUCAAUCUUUGGGUUUCAGCCUUCAAACAAGCGGCUGAAGAUGACAUCUGCAUAGGUUUUGCACAGCUGCUCAAAACAUACACACAUGUAGACAAAGAGGAGCUAACACGGCAGCGUACACGUAGAAAACAAAAUGACGUCACCACACCUCACGUCAACGGAAGCCCGACAGCUAAGUAAGUCAUCAAAGUGCUCAUGAAGUAUUGAAGCAGUGACGAUGGAGGUAGACUUUUUUUUUUUUUAACACAUUGAUUCAAAUCAGCAUGUCUUUUCUUUUCGUCGUAUGAAAUGCAACAUUUGUUGUCCUCCUUCUCGCGCUCAUGUAAACAUUAGAGGAAUUUGGUUAGCUAGAAAAUGUUUGAAAUAAUAGCGGGCGGCGUCUUCUCAUCCAGGAGUACGCGACUCGUGCAUGGGGGGGUGUUAGACUCGCGCGUUUAUUCAAAUGUUGGAGAUUUACACGAAGGCCUCCAACUGAUCGCCGGGAAUGGAAAAAUCACGCAAAUCUUGAGACUUCAUGGAAGAGGUUUGCUCGUGGUUUUGGAAAUUGGACUUUGAAUUAGUUGGUGUGGCCUUGUCUCCCAAAAAAUGAAUAAACUGUCAAACAAAUGAACCACGGGAAGAGUGAGAUGCGGUCACGUAACCAUCAGCCCGUACGUCCCGACCACGGCUGGAGCCGCUCUGCAAUUCCGAACGGACACACGAGUCGUCGUCGGCCCGACGUGAAGUCUCCAAUGGGCUGGGCAGUGGGAAGAAGCGACGGCACAGAGGCACUACAAGGAAGAGGUGCCACUGAAAGUGGUUAGCACAUCUGCCUCACAGCUCUGAGGACCCGGGUUCAAAUCCAGCCUCGCCUGUGUGGAGUUCUCGCCGUGCCUGCAAGAAGACUAAAUUGCUCAUAGGCGUGAACGGUUGUUUGUUUACAUUGUAUGUGUCCAGCGACCAGUUCAUGGUCACCCGAAGACAGCUGGGAUCCUUGAUGAGGAUGAGCACUGCAGAAAAUGGAUGGAUGGAUGGAUUUGAAGCAAGACAAAAAGACUUGUUGUAAGAUACGAGAUCUUAUUUUAAGAAUCCUAUCAAGUCAAUUGAGACGAGUUCCGUUGGUUGAUUCCCCCCACCCACUUAAAUUUUCAUUUUGCCCCUAAAAUCUGCUACUGUUACAACAGUGGCAUGAAAAAGUACAGGUCCAAUUUUCAAAUUCUCAUUUUGCCCAUUUUAAUGAUGAAGAUCAUCAAACAAAUGAAAAUAUCACAAAUAUAUUAAAGUGCUGUUUUAAAACGGUGAUUUUGUUUAUUAAUGAAAAAAAAUAUUUAACGCUAUCUGGCCCUGUGUGAAAACCUAAGGCCCCUUAAAAGUAAAAAAGUAAUCCUGUGUUGGGCCACCCUCAGCAACACCAAGUGAAAUCAUCCAUUUUCUGGAAGUGGCUGUGGAGCAUGAA